GUAUCAAUAUAAAUAUUUUAUAUAAAAUGAAAGAUGUAAACUAUAAAUAUAAGAUUAAUUAUCAUAUGUUCGGUUAUUUUCGGAUAUCCAUUCGGGUUCGGAUAUUACCCGUUCGGGUUCGGAUAUCCAAUCUCUCCUAAUUCAAUAUCCGUUCGGAUAUUUUGCUACUUCGGUUCGGAUUUCGGUUCGGGUUUUUCGGAUCGGAUUCGGGUGCCACUUCGGAUUUCGGGUAAAAUGCCCACCCCUAG
rnacentral:lncRNA from 1 species